UUCAGUUGGGCACUCUAAGGUGACUGCCGGUGACAAACCGGAGGAAGGUGGGGAUGACGUCAAAUCAUCAUGCCCCUUAUGACCUGGGCUACACACGUGCUACAAUGGACAGAACAAAGGGCAGCGAAACCGCGAGGUUAAGCCAAUCCCACAAAUCUGUUCUCAGUUCGGAUCGCAGUCUGCAACUCGACUGCGUGAAGCUGGAAUCGCUAGUAAUCGCGGAUCAGCAUGCCGCGGUGAAUACGUUCCCGGGCCUUGUACACACCGCCCGUCACACCACGAGAGUUUGUAACACCCGAAGUCGGUGAGGUAACCUUUAUGGAGCCAGCCGCCGAAGGUGGGACAGAUGAUUGGGGUGAAGUCGUAACAAGGUAGCCGUAUCGGAAGGUGCGGCUGGAUCACCUCCUUU
rnacentral:rRNA from 1 species